AUGUAGCCAGGUGCAUUGGGGAAAGCACUGACAUCGGCGUCAGACAGACUUAAGUUCAUAUCUGAUUCUGCUAUAUGACAACGUGUGGGCUAUGUGGCUAACUUCUCAGAGCUUCAGUUUUCCCAAGGGCAAAAUGAAAAUAAUAGAAAUAAUAGAAUCCACCUCACAGGGCUGUGGUGAGAAUUGGAUAUGAAGCACAUACAGCAUAUUACAUCAACUAAACACAUGCUAAAAAUUAAAGGGGAUGAAAGAUACAUUGGUCCCUGCAGUGGGAAGUUUCCUUGACAAUGCAAUUAUUGAUUCCAGAAGGCUGAACAAAUGUUGAUAGAGGAACACACUGUUUGCUUAUGUCUAAUCUUCCCAUCUGACUUAUAUAAAUGUCACAAAUGAAUCUCAGACAUGUGCCCAAUAUCAAAUAUCCGUACGAUGGCCCUGGAAAGAGGCAAUCUACAUUCAUGGCUUAUGAGAAGAUGGAUUUUUAGCUUGAAAGAAACUUAUUACUGGGGAGAGGAAGUAUAAAUGAAUGGAGAGAGCUAUGAAGAGGUUGAGAGAAUACAGCCAAGACACAUGACAGAAUUGCUCUGUUGAAGUUUUGCAAGGUCAAAUGACUCAC
rnacentral:antisense_RNA from 1 species